rnacentral:rRNA from 1 species
AUUGAACGCUGGCGGCAGGCCUAACACAUGCAAGUCGAGCGGGGUUUUCGGACCUAGCGGCGGACGGGUGAGUAAUGCGUAGGAAGCUGCCCGAUAGAGGGGGAUACCAGUUGGAAACGACUGUUAAUACCGCAUAAUGUCUACGGACCAAAGUGUGGGACCUUCGGGCCACAUGCUAUCGGAUGCGCCUACGUGGGAUUAGCUAGUUGGUGAGGUAAUGGCUCACCAAGGCGACGAUCUCUAGCUGGUUUGAGAGGAUGAUCAGGCACACUGGAACGGAGACACGGUCCAGACUCCUACGGGAGGCAGCAGUGGGGAAUAUUGGACAAUGGGCGCAAGCCUGAUCCAGCCAUGCCGCGUGUGUGAAGAAGGCCUUCGGGUUGUAAAGCACUUUCAGCGAGGAGGAAGGGAUGUAUGUUAAUAGCAUGCAUUUUUGACGUUACUCGCAGAAGAAGCACCGGCUAACUCUGUGCCAGCCGCCGCCGUAACAC